GCAACCGCCAGCGGAACCCGCUCGCCCGGACCCCUCUCGCUGGGAGCGGUGUUGGCUCUCACAGCAGCCUGUGAGGUUCCCGCAGGGGCCUCAGAAACUCCUGGCCCCGCUCGAUAGUGGGCUUGUGCGCUGCUCAGAACUCCUGCGUCCAGCGGAGACUGAUGCUCGGGGCCGAAGCAUCCACAGCGCCAGGGGCUGGGGAGAGCAGAGCCCAGAAAAACUCAAGAGACAAAGAGAAGAUCCUAUAAACAGAGAGAGACAGAGAGAGAGAAAGAGAGAGAAUAGGAAUCAGAAUGGCUUCAGAUUUUUCAAAAGGAAUACUGGAAUCUAGAAGGCAAUGAAGCAAUGCUUUCAAGGUUUAACCUCAAAUUCUGUACCCAG
rnacentral:lncRNA from 1 species